UGAGAAUUGUCACUGGUGGGGUGACAGAGA
rnacentral:piRNA from 1 species